AUGGACGUCAAAAACCUUUUUAUGUUCGACAAAAUCACUUCUCGAAUUCAGAAGCUCUGCUAGGGACUCAACAUGGACUUCAUUGAUCCUCCUGCAAUCACCCUUAAAGUGAUCAAGGGCUGUAUUCUGGUGUGACAACUGUAGAAUUGGAUAACCUUGCUGCUAAAAAACUGCUGCAACAAUGACAACAAAGCACCCUGUUUUAUGCUGUGCUUGCUGCCAGGAUUGCGGUGUCAAACCUCCACAAAGAACCAAGAAGAGUUCAAUCCUAUAACAUGGUUGAUAAUAAGACUGGAAAUAAGAUGCCCAUGCUUGGCGAACACUACUACAAGAUCAUCAUGGAGCAUGCAGAUAAACUCAAUUCUGCUAUUAUCUAUGACCCUGACUUUUUUUACAAUUAUUUUGGCUUCAGGUCAGUAAUGUGAAUAUAAAACUCUGGACGUUCUUAUUUGCUCAAGAUCAAUGGCAAAGUGGGAGAGCGACCCAAAAAGAUGGGUUUAUGAGGGUUGCAGUGGGCAUCCAUGGUGAGGAUAUUGAUGCUAUUGAGACUUACAACCUAUUGUCUGAGAAGUGGGUUUACACAUGCCUCACCCACUCUUUUCAAUGCUGCUACAAGAAGGCCACAGUUAUCUAGCUGCUUCCUACUAACGAUGAAGGGCGACAGAUUGAGGGCAAAUUUUUGACCACUUAAGCAGUGUGCUCUGAUCUCCAAGUCUGCUGGAGGCAUUGGGCUGAACGUGCACUGAUCAGGUCCAUGGGAAGUAUAUUGCAGGAACCAAUGGAACUUCUAAUGGUCUUGUGCCCCUGUUGAGGGUGUACAAUAACACAGCUCGUUAUGUUGACCAGGGUGGAAACAAGAGGCCAGGUGCAUUUGCCAUCUACUUGGAGCCAUGGCACCCAGAUAUUUUCGAUUUCCUUGAUCUUCGCAAAAUUAUGGAAAGGUGAGAGGAUGAACAAAGAGCAAGGGAUCUUUUCUUGCUUUGUGGAUCCUGAUCUGUUCAUGCAGCAAGUGGAAGCCAAUGGCGAAUGGUACCUGAUGUGCCCUAUGAAUGCCCAGGAUUCAUGAUACCUGGGGUGAGGAAUUUGAGAAACUCUUUCCACAAGUAUAUCGAAGAAGGUCGUUUCCGUCGCAAAGUGAAGGCACAACAGUUUUGGUAUGCAGUUAUUGAAUCACAGACCUGGUACACCAUACAUGGUUAUAUAAAGGAUGCCUGCAAUAGAAAGAGUAAACCAACAGAACCUUGGUACCAUCAAAUGUUCUAACCUCUGUACCGAGAUAGUAGAAAAAUUCCUCACCAGAUGAGGUUGCUGUGUGCAAUUUAGCAUCAAUUGCUCUCAACAUGUAUGUCAACCCAGACAAAACCUACAACUUUGUCAAGCUAAAGGAGGUUACAAAGGUCAUUACAAGAAAUCUGAACAAGAUUAUCGAUGUCAACUUCUACCCUGUUGAAGAGGCUAAGCGUUCAAACAUGCGCCAUCGACCUAUUGGCAUUGGUGUACAAGGGCUUGCUGAUGCCUUCAUUCUCAUGAGAUAUCCCUUUGACUCGGAAGAAGCAAAGUUGCUCAACAAGCAGAUCUUUGAGACCAUUUACUAUGGUGCAAUGGAAGCAAGCUGUGAACUAGCAGAGAAAUUUGGUCCUUAUGAAACCUAUGAAGGAUGUCCAGUCAGUAAAGGGAUUUUCCAGUAUGACAUGUGGAACGUAACUCCAACUGACCUGCAUGACUGGGCUGCUCUCAAGGCCAAGGUAGCUAAGUUCGGAGUGCGUAACUCCCUGCUGCUGGCCCCCAUGCCUACUGCAUCAACAGCUCAGAUUCUGGGCAACAACGAGUCCAUUGAAGCCUACACCUCCAACAUCUAUUCUCGUCGUGUCCUCUCAGGAGAGUUCCAGGUUGUAAAUCACCACCUCUUGAGGGAUUUGACUGAACUUGGCCUCUGGGAUGAUGAAACCAAGAACGAGAUGAUUGCCAAGAAUGGGUCAAUUCAGGGCAUUGCAAAGAUUCCUGAUGACCUGAAGGCCUUGUACAAGACUGUGUGGGAGGUUUCGCAGAAAGUGGUAAUCCAGAUGGCAGCUGAUCGUGGUGCCUUCAUUGAUCAAAGUCAGUCGCUGAACAUCCACAUUGCUGAGCCAAACUACGGAAAGCUAACAUCCAUGCACUUCUAUGCCUGGAAAUUGGGUCUGAAGACUGGCAUGUACUACCUCCGCACUAAGCCAGCUGCCAAUGCCAUUCAGUUUACUGUUGAUAAGUCCAAGCUAAAGAAGGCUGAAACUGCCAAUGGUCAUGCAAAUGGCACUACAAAUGGCACUACCAAUGGCACCUCUAGUGCAUCAAAACCAGAUGCUAUGAAUAUGGCAGCCAUGGUUUGCUCCCUUGAGAACAAGGAUGAGUGCCUCAUGUGUGGAUCGUAAAGUACAAUAUGAACAAAAAAACUAACAAAAGAACUUCAAUGUGUUCCCAGUGAUUUCUCCAAAUAUUCUUUUAAACUUUACUGUACAAGCUUUUUUUUCUUUCCUUCUGCUCUUGCAGUUUUCAUUGUGAUAAAUAGUAAGUUAAGUUGUAUAUUUUGUUACGUGAUUUUAAUUCUGCUUUUACCUUCCUUUUGAGUUAAAUCUAUCAUGUAUAUCACUUAAGUUCUUUCACUUAAGUUGUGCAUUCACACUUGUGCCUUAUUCUCUCUGCACAACACAACCGAGAGCUAACAUAUCACUGCCAUUAUCUUAAGUAGGUACAUGACUAAGGAAACUUAGGUAUUAGUGUACCACUAUAUUUUUACUACUGUGUGUAUUGUAUACAUUUUUUUUAUAAAGCAUUUAUAUAUA